UACGGGGGGGGCAAGCGUUGUUCGGAAUUACUGGGCGUAAAGGGUUUGUAGGUGGCUUGUUAAGUCAGACGUGAAAUCCCUCAGCUUAACUGGGGAACUGCGUCUGAGACUGGUGAGCUUGAGUGCAGGAGAGAAGAGUGGAAUUCCACGUGUAGCGGUGAAAUGCGUAGAGAUGUGGAGGAACACCAGUGGCGAAGGCGGCUCACUGGCCCGGUACUGACGCUAAGGCGCGAAAGCGUGGGGAGCGAACAGG
rnacentral:rRNA from 1 species